rnacentral:misc_RNA from 1 species
GAUGAAGACGUAGUGAAAUGCGAUAAGUAAUGUGAAUUGCAGAAUUCAGUGAAUCAUCGAAUCUUUGAACGCACAUUGCGCCCCUUGGUAUUCCGAGGGGCAUGCCUGUUCGAGCGUCAUUAUCACCCCUCAAGCUUUGCUUGGUGUUGGGGCCUGCUGUAAUAGGCAGCCCUUAAAAUCAGUGGCGGUGCUUCAAGGCUCUAAGCGUAGUAAUUCUCCUCGCUAUAGUGUCUAGUGGUUGCCAGCCAGAACCCCCCAAUUUUCAUGAUUGACCUCGGAUCAGGUAGGGAUACCCGCUGAACUUAAGCAUAUCAAUAAGCGGAGGA